rnacentral:rRNA from 1 species
GAGGAAAAGAAACUAACAAGGAUUCCCCUAGUAACGGCGAGUGAAGAGGGAAGAGCCCAAGAUUGAAAGCUGGCGUCUUCGGCGUCCGCAUUGUAAUCUCAAGAAGUGUUUUCCGCUUCGGACCAUGCCUAAGUCCCUUGGAAAAGGGCAUCAUAGAGGGUGAUAAUCCCGUACAUGGCAUGGAGCGCCCGAAGCUUUGUGAUACGCUUUCUAAGAGUCGAGUUGUUUGGGAAUGCAGCUCAAAAUGGGUGGUAAAUGCCAUCUAAGGCUAAAUAUUGGGGAGAGACCGAUAGCGAACAAGUACAGUGAUGGAAAGAUGAAAAGAACUUUGAAAAGAGAGUUAAACAGUACGUGAAAUUGCCAAAAGGGAAGGGUAGGAGGUCAGAGAUGCGGCUUAGGAUUCAGCCUUGCUUUUGCUUGGUGUUUUUCCUAAAUUGCAGGCCAACGUCGGUUUUGGGCGCUGGAGAAGGGUGGAAGGAAUGUGGCACCCCUCGGGGUGUGUUAUAGCCUUCUACUGGAUACAGUGACCGAGACCGAGGACAGCAGCGUACUCGCAAGAGCGGGCCUUCGGGCACCUUUACGCUUAGGGCGUUGGCAUAAUGGCCCUCUACCACCCGUCUG